UACAGAGGGGGCAAGCGUUGUUCGGAAUUACUGGGCGUAAAGGGCGCGUAGGCGGCCUUCUAAGUCGAACGUGAAAUCCCCGGGCUCAACCCGGGAACUGCGUCCGAUGCUGGAAGGCUUGAAUCCGGGAGAGGGAUGCGGAAUUCCAGGUGUAGCGGUGAAAUGCGUAGAUAUCUGGAGGAGCACCGGUGGCGAAGGCGGCAUCCUGGACCGAGAUUGACGCUGAGGCGCGAAAGCCAGGGGAGCAAACGGG
rnacentral:rRNA from 1 species